rnacentral:misc_RNA from 1 species
GGAAGUAAAGUCGUAACAAGGUUUCCGUAGGUGAACCUGCGGAAGGAUCAUUAAUGAGUUGUCAUGGGGUUCGAUGCUGGCAGCCAGUUUUUGGAUGCAUGUGCUUGCCCUAACAAUCAUCUUCCAAACACCUGUGCACAUUUUUGAGGGAGUCUUGAGUUGGUUGCCGCUCUUGGGUGAUUUUCUCACAUUCCCUUAAAUCAUUAUACGCUAUUAACAAUGUUGAACGUGCUCUGUGCCGCAAGGCUAUUAAUACAAUACAACUUUUAACAACGGAUCUCUUGGCUCUC